GGGAUGGAAUGAUAAGGUUUGGCUGUGUCCCCAACCAAAUCUUAUCUUGAUUUGUACCUCCCACAAUUCCCACAUGUUGUGGCAGGAACCUGGUGGGAGGUGAUUGAAUCAUGGGGGCGAGUCUUUCCUGUGCUGUUCUCAUGAUAGUGAGUGGGUCUCACAAAAUCUGAUGGUUUUAAAAACAGGCGUUUCCCUGCACAAGCUCUCUUCUCUUGCCUGCUGCUGUGUGAGACGUGCCUUUCACCUUCCUCCAUGAUUAUGAGACCUCCCCAGCCAUGUAGAACUGCUCCACUGGCAGAGAGCAGAGAAGAGGAGAAAAGAAGAAACAGCUGAAUGUCGGAGAGAAGCAGAUUGAUUUCAGAGAGACGGCUUGAUGGCGUGACUUCAGAGUUCAGUCCAGCCAGAAAUGACUGUUCUUCACGGGAAGAAUACUUUCCCGCUCCCUCCCCUUUCCAACUCCCCUUCCCACUGAGUGCCACCUCCAUGGGCAAUAAAGUCCUCUGCAUUCACCACCCUUCAAUUCGUUUGUGCGAUCUGAUUUUUCCCGGAUGCCGAAAAAGAGCUCGGGUGUGACGGGUGCUGAUGCUAAAGGCUGUCAUACUUACCCUCUGCCCUCACUAGCAGAAAGCAAUCACCUCACACAAA
rnacentral:lncRNA from 1 species